rnacentral:lncRNA from 1 species
GACGACUAAGGAGGGAAAGGUGGUGCUCCCAUCCACUGUAGCAGACACAUUGCUGUGAGAACUACAUGAGUCUACCCACUUCGGUGAGAAAAAGAUGAUGGUUGCCUUACAACCCCAUUUCGUCAGCCAGGGAUUAGCCCAAAAGGCCCAGGACAUGGUGAGAUGAUGCCCCACCUGCCUCAAGGUUUGAUUCCAAGACCCUGGAACCUCGUUGGAAGGGACCGGUUCCUGCUGUCCUGUCAGCUCCCUUGGCAGUGAAGAUGGCUGGACAUUCUGCCUGGAUACAUCGCAACCAUCUGAAAGCAGGACCCCCCAUGGACAUCAAAAAAGACAAAUGGAAGGUUAUUAGCCAACCAGGCAACCAAAAGCUAAUACUGGAACGGGUUGGAGAUGUUUCACCUUAAUGAUAGUAUUCUCUGGGACACUGGCAUUAUUGCCCCCAAAAGGACUAGAUCACAAAAAAAAUGUAUGGAUUCAAUUGGCAAACUUGCUUAACUUGUCUGAAUUCUGCUUAAAUGUUAAUGUAAAUUUCCUUUAUGUGCUGGGAAGCUGUCUCAUUCCGGUAUGCACCUCUUUAGAGUUAAUACAACCCUAUACCCUAUUUAAGGACAUCCCAGGAAAAAAAUCUUACUUACAUGGAUAGUUAUAAUUGGGGACAUGACACCUGCCAUAAACCUAAAAAUGCUGUCAAAUUAUAUACACCCAAGGUAAUUAUGUCAAACAAAACUGAAUGUGCUAUGUAUGAAAAUUAUACAACCAAGUGUCUGAGGAUAAAACAGUCAAAAGGGAUGUCCUGCCACAUAAAACAAAAAAAUUGUGUAUAACAAUUGCCAUAUCUCCCUGCCCAUAGGAUGGUUUUAUACCUGUGAAAAAAUAACCUUUAAUUAUAUUCCAGCAAAUUUAACCAAGACCUGUUGCUGUUUGAGUCGUCUAGAUGUAGUGUUGCCAGACAGGACUGAUUUGAUUGUGCCUAACAGAACUAAACGUUGGUCACCUUACACUACACCAGGAUGUGAUGAUGAUGUAGGUUUGUUAACAGAUGCUGAAGUAAUAACCAUGAUAGCAUCUUUUGUUGCCCUGCCUUCUAUAGGAGUCCAUGCUAAAAAGGCAGUGCGAAAAUUAGCUUGCAAGGUGGUCAAAGGGUUAAAUGCUACCUCAUCAACCUUGGCAUUAGUUAACCAAGAGUUACAGGAACAGAGACAGGCAAUCUUAGAUAAUAGAGCAGCAAUAGACUAUUUGUUGCUCCUCCACCACCAAGGUUGUGAAAGAGUAAAAAAUAUGUGUUGUUUCAAUCUUACCGAUAAUGGUCCAAAGAUCGAAGAAAAGGUAAAACAAUUAGAAGACCUGGCUAAAAAAAUAUAUAAUGAGGAUGGCGGGGACUUGUUCAAAUGGUUAACUUCGUGGCUGCUCAAUCUACAAUGGUUAAAACAACUUUUUGUUGUCAUCAUAGUUGUGUGUACAUGCUUAUUAUUGUCAUGUUGUUGUAUACAAUAGAUACCUACAUUUGUGCGUAAGAUUACUUAAGUUCCAAAAAAUCAGUGGGAAAUGUGGGACUGCAUAAUCUUUGUUCCCUUUUUCUCCAGCCCCAUUGUGAUUAAAAUGUGAGUUAAUGGAUAGAGAUGCUUGUUAGUUUAGAGACGCUAGAUAGAGAUCUGUAACAGACCUAGAGUCCCAGAGUAAACUACUCAACUCUUUGUUUACCCGAACUGAAAUUCCAGGCACCACAAUUGUUAGAACAAGCUGCAGAUGUCUGCUGACCAUCAAUAUGUGACAGUCGGCUGACCAUCAAUAUGUGACAGUCGACCACUAACCUUUGUCCCCUUUUCUUUAAUUCUAUAUGUUAACUUCCCCCUUAACCCCCUAUAAAAACAGCCUCGGAUUCUGAACCAGUUGUCUCUCUAAGC